UCCCGUUGGAAAACCGCUCGAUUCAAUUGGAUUCUGCCUGCUCCUAACUCGGGCCUUCCUGAAUUCUUUGGAUUUCAUUUGCUCUCUGAAGAUUUCUUUGGGUUCUUAUAGGCCAUCCCCUAACCUUGAAAUCUGACAAGGAGUGCAAAAUGUGGAACCAAAUCCUCUGUCGUGGUUAUUAUAGCACAACAUGUGCAGUUGCAGAAUCGCAGUCCUGCUUAAGUUUGGGUGGCUCUUAUCUUCUCUUUUUGUUCUCCGUUACCUGGAUCAUGCAUCAGCAUGUCUUCCCAUCGGCAUCCGAUUGAGAUCCUGCAAAGAGAGCACAAGCAGUUUGACGUUUCGGCGCUGGGAUUUUUUAUGGCCUCAUGUUUUUUUGAGAUCAAACGCUGCAAUGUAUUACUCAAACGGCAUAAUCAGAUGCCAAAAUGUUUACAAUGAACUCCGGUGGGGAAACCAACCAGGUGUUACAAAGCUUAUUUCCGCAGACACAGGCAGCUUGAUGCAUCUGCUCGAGCGUUCUUUGUUGCCGGCCGGCUAGCGAACGAGAUGGUUGUGAUUAAUGAUUGUGGUGAUUGUGGCCACCAGCGUGCUCUAAUGCCGGCUAAAAACUUUAUUCACCUACGAGUAAUCCUAAUUUGGACAAAGGCAACUGAGAUUGCAGAGGAUUUGAGUCUGGAAUGGAGUUGUAGGAAACUUUGGAUAUUCUCUAGAGAGGACUCA